rnacentral:rRNA from 1 species
UACGAAGGGGGCUAGCGUUGUUCGGAUUUACUGGGCGUAAAGCGCGCGUAGGUGGUUUGUUAAGUUGGAUGUGAAAUCCCCGGGCUCAACCUGGGAACUGCAUUCAAAACUGACAAGCUAGAGUAUGGUAGAGGGUGGUGGAAUUUCCUGUGUAGCGGUGAAAUGCGUAGAUAUAGGAAGGAACACCAGUGGCGAAGGCGACCACCUGGACUGAUACUGACACUGAGGUGCGAAAGCGUGGGGAGCAAACAGG